AGCUGAAUGGGCCCUUCCCGAGGAGGCUGGGGCAGCGAGCUGUCCAGGCCAGGGCGUACACCCUUCUGCAGGAGCCGGCAGGGAGAGAAAUGGGGCCACCGUCUGAGCUGCUCUCCUGGUUUUUGGUUUUGUCCCACGUUUCUCACCUGCCUCCUGUGUUCAGAACUUUGGGAUGGAAGGAGGUCAGGACCAUCUGUCCAUUUAACCAUUCUUCCGUGUGUCCAUCCGCCCGUCUACUCUGGUCCCAGCCCACAGGCUGUAAACCACAGGAAAUAGAAGGUGGCCCGAUGCCACCAGCAUCACGAUCCACACUUGACCGUUGAGGAAGGACACGGAGGCUCAAAGCGGGGGAGUAGCACGCAGCACCGUCAGCAGAGUGGUGCCGGGACUGUCUGCAGCCUGGCGGUCCACGGAGUGCGCGACUGAGACUGGGGACAAGUGCGGGGAAGGCACGGCAGAGCAAAGACAUUCCCUGCCACCAUGGCCAGCUGGACCGCGUCCCUCCUGCGCCUGUCACCUGGCUGCCCCCCCUGGUGCCCAGAGCCCUGCCACUCAGCCAAAGGACCCGGCAGGCCACGAGGCGCGGGCGGGAGGGGCUUUUAAAUGUUAAUUGUAUUUUGA